rnacentral:rRNA from 1 species
AGUGGGGAAUUUUCCGCAAUGGGCGAAAGCCUGACGGAGCAACGCCGCGUGAGGGAUGAAGGCCUCUGGGCUGUAAACCUCUUUUCUCAAGGAAGAAGAACUGACGGUACUUGAGGAAUAAGCCACGGCUAAUUCCGUGCCAGCAGCCGCGGUAAUACGGGAGUGGCAAGCGUUAUCCGGAAUUAUUGGGCGUAAAGCGUCCGCAGGCGGCCCUUCAAGUCUGCUGUUAAAAAGUGGAGCUUAACUCCAUCGUGGCAGUGGAAACUGUUGGGCUAGAGUGUGGUAGGGGCAGAGGGAAUUCCCGGUGUAGCGGUGAAAUGCGUAGAUAUCGGGAAGAACACCAGUGGCGAAGGCGCUCUGCUGGGCCAUAACUGACGCUCAUGGACGAAAGCCAGGGGAGCGAAAGGGAUUAGAUACCCCUGUAGUCCUGGCCGUAAACGAUGAACACUAGGUGCCGGGGGAAUCGACCCCCUCGGUGUCGUAGCCAACGCGUUAAGUGUUCCGCCUGGGGAGUACGCACGCAAGUGUG